rnacentral:rRNA from 1 species
UACGGGGGGGGCAAGCGUUGUUCGGAAUUAUUGGGCGUAAAGAGCUCGUAGGCGGCUUGUCACGUCGAUUGUGAAAGCCCGAGGCUUAACCUCGGGUCUGCAGUCGAUACGGGCUAGCUAGAGUGUGGUAGGGGAGAUCGGAAUUCCUGGUGUAGCGGUGAAAUGCGCAGAUAUCAGGAGGAACACCGAUGGCGAAGGCAGGUCUCUGGGCCGAUACUGACGCUGAGGAGCGAAAGCGUGGGGAGCGAACAGG